rnacentral:rRNA from 1 species
UGCCGGUGACAAACCGGAGGAAGGUGGGGAUGACGUCAAAUCAUCAUGCCCCUUAUGAUUUGGGCUACACACGUGCUACAAUGGACAAUACAAAGGGCAGCGAAACCGCGAGGUCAAGCAAAUCCCAUAAAGUUGUUCUCAGUUCGGAUUGUAGUCUGCAACUCGACUACAUGAAGCUGGAAUCGCUAGUAAUCGUAGAUCAGCAUGCUACGGUGAAUACGUUCCCGGGUCUUGUACACACCGCCCGUCACACCACGAGAGUUUGUAACACCCGAAGCCGGUGGAGUAACCAUUUUGGAGCUAGCCGUCGAAGGUGGGACAAAUGAUUGGGGUGAAGUCGUAACAAGGUAGCCGUAUCGGAAGGUGCGGCUGGAUCACCUCCUUU